UCCACCUGAUUGAAAAAUGUUAGAAUAAUACAACAAAACACUUUGUUUACAUAAGUUACAUUAGCAAGUCACUCUGCCAGCAAGUCUACACAUUCAAGCAAGAUCACACUAUACAAACAUGGUUCUCCCAGGAUUUACACCAAAAAUAACCACACAUUUAGCUGCACUCAGCAUGAGUAAUACACAAUUCAGUCUCAAAAAGGAAUUGAUAUCCACAGUAAAUGGUUGGUUGCAUUAUUUUUCAAAGAGUAAAGUUUCUUACCCAGAGACCGUGCCAAAGAAAGAACUUCCAAAAAAGGCUAUUUUAAGUAAGCCUGUGAACAAAUAUGCUCUUUGCUCUAAAAGAAGUAGGUUCUUCGUGAAUCCAUUUCCAGAGGUGGAGGCAUGUGAGAACACUAGCAAGACUAACAAAUGUAUAUUAGAUAUUAUAAAAAUGGUAAAAGUGAAUUUUGAAAAUGGCAAGUGUUUUUCAGCAAUCUGGGCACACAAAAUGUUUUGCAAUCUUCCUCAUUCCAUUUCAAAAUCACCACAAGGAUCUACGCAUGCAUUGAGUAAAGCACAGGAAUUUUUGUUUAGCUGGAAAACAAGACAAACUGGUACUUUGUGUAAUACCCAAUUGCGCCAUUAUAGCACAGCUAAAACUUGUAUGCCUACUCCUUCUCCCCCUCCGAAUCAAAAAUGUGUAAUUCCACCGAAGAAGAAAGAAGAAUGCUUAAAACAAAAACAACACGAAUGGCAACCUGUCGAUACGAUUAAAAUGCCAUGCUGUUGCUGUCCGACAAAAGAUGUUCGAUGUUAUACUGAUGUCCAACCAAAGUUGAAUCUGUGUAAAAAGACUGAAUAUAGAAUACCAGCGUUUUCUGAAUGCAAGAAGUCAGCAUUGAUUAAGAUACUGCCAAAAGAAUGCUGCUACCAAGCACUAUUUUGCCCCUUGGACGGAAAAAAAUGGUCUUCACCACAAUUGAUGACUACUAAAAUGAGGCAAGAAUUAAUCCUGGGACGCCGCCGAAACAAUUCAGUUUCUUCACAAAGUGGCUCUACUUCUAACUCUACAAAAAAAGACAACGGGUGUAACAGGUCGAAAUAAGUUGUGAUGUUAUUGUUCAGAUCAAGGGGUGCAAAGUGUAGGGUGCAAACUGCAAAUGAUAUCAAACUUUUCUGUGGGUGAAUUAUUACUCAAGUGAUAUGUCUUAUUGAAAUAUCAUUGCAGAUUAAUGUACAAAGGCAGAUUGUUUGACAAAAAAGUAUUUGUUAAAUUUUUC
rnacentral:misc_RNA from 1 species